GGGGAUUAGUGGCGAACGGGUGAGUAACACGUGGGCAAUCUGCCCUGCACUCUGGGACAAGCCCUGGAAACGGGGUCUAAUACCGGAUAUUGACCUUCACGGGCAUCUGUGAGGUUCGAAAGCUCCGGCGGUGCAGGAUGAGCCCGCGGCCUAUCAGCUUGUUGGUGAGGUAAUGGCUCACCAAGGCGACGACGGGUAGCCGGCCUGAGAGGGCGACCGGCCACACUGGGACUGAGACACGGCCCAGACUCCUACGGGAGGCAGCAGUGGGGAAUAUUGCACAAUGGGCGAAAGCCUGAUGCAGCGACGCCGCGUGAGGGAUGACGGCCUUCGGGUUGUAAACCUCUUUCAGCAGGGAAGAAGCGAAAGUGACGGUACCUGCAGAAGAAGCGCCGGCUAACUACGUGCCAGCAGCCGCGGUAAUACGUAGGGCGCAAGCGUUGUCCGGAAUUAUUGGGCGUAAAGAGCUCGUAGGCGGCUUGUCACGUCGGUUGUGAAAGCCCGGGGCUUAACCCCGGGUCUGCAGUCGAUACGGGCAGGCUAGAGUUCGGUAGGGGAGAUCGGAAUUCCUGGUGUAGCGGUGAAAUGCGCAGAUAUCAGGAGGAACACCGGUGGCGAAGGCGGAUCUCUGGGCCGAUACUGACGCUGAGGAGCGAAAGCGUGGGGAGCGA
rnacentral:rRNA from 1 species